CUGACAUUCAUCUUAGAACUAAACACAAUACAAUACAAAAGCUUCUCCUGUGUAAAAACUCGAUCUUAUUUAAUCUAAUGAAACCAAAUUAUUCUACCAACAAGCAAUCUACGAUUAGAAAAUACAUAAACAUAAUCAAUCAGCUUGAUAUGACUUCGAAACCGCAACUCAUAACAGAGAACACUCAUCAGCACUGGCUAACACUGAAAUCAUCCACAAUAAGUACACUCUUCAAAUAUCAUGAAACAAACACCAAUGCAGAGCAAUAUAUCCAACUAUUUAACGACGCAGUAGAAACGUACAAACCAGAAUCAACGGGUCAAAAUCAAACACCCACACUUCGUUUGCCGUGACAAACGACCAGGGUGUCAUUAUAACUGUCGGUGUUUUACCAACGUACUGCCCUAUACUUUCAGCUGAAGCGGCUGCGUUUUAUGAAGCGGUCCUAUUUGUUGCACAAACAGGAAAAAUAUAUAUCAUAUGUACUGACAGCAAAUCGACAAUUAACGCUAUUUUGAAUCCAUCAAAUAACACAGUGCUGAUCAACAAUAUAAAAUAAAUUUUAAAAUCAACACAAAAGCAAAAUUAAGAUCAUCUGGAUUCCAGGACAUGCUGGUAUUAGGGGCAACCAAUUUGUCCACGACCGCGCAAAAAGGAUAGUAAAGAACCUCUCAUUCGCACACUAUACAUCUAAAAACAUUCGCAACAUGAUAAAGAAAUUACUCCACUAGUCGGUUUCGAGAGGUUGGUCAAAUUUUCAGCACCAUUACAAGGAAUAUAAUCCCUCUAGGGACAAACCAGACUACCCAACUAACUGCUCUUGCGAUAACAUAAAGAAAUUUCUUCGCCAUAGAAUUGGCCACACUUUAAAAACUCAUAGUCAUCUGCUGAACGAAACAGAAAAAUCAAGUUGCACAUCCUAAAUGAAUGCACCGCUUUAAAUUAUAAAAGAACUACUACUUUUGGAAAUACGAUACCAUCAAAUCUUCUAAAGACACCAAGGAGACUUAAGAAAUUCUUUGAGAAAACAUAUGCCACUGGGCAAACAUUUUAACUCUUCAGAAAAUGCAUACAGUGGAGGAGAUAUUAUAUCUUUAACAGUCAAAGUUCGAAUAUUAUUUACUUCUAUUUGGAACUCAGUUUUUUUAACGAACGGAUAAUUAUCUACUACUUCUUCAAACUCCCGUGUAAACUUUCGCACAACAACUCGAUUGGAUUCUCUUGAAGCUUCUUCUUUGCAAACUAAUCUCCACAGGCUGCGGGCAUCUUCAAGGACAUUAGCGCAAACGUCAUCCAUGUGUUGCAGAAGCUUAAGAAUAGGAUCUUCAUUGUUACCAGCAUGUAGAAGUAAUUUUAAGUCCACCGGCAAAUUGAUUUUUAGAUUGAAAUCUAAGAUGUGAUCAAUCGGUUUCCAAUAUUCUGAUAUAAAAUAAAAUACAAGCAUAUAAUAAAUGCAAUACAUAUGUUCAAAAUA